UGGCUCAGAUUGAACGCUGGCGGCAGGCCUAACACAUGCAAGUCGAGCGGUAGAGAGAAGCUUGCUUCUCUUGAGAGCGGCGGACGGGUGAGUAAUACCUAGGAAUCUGCCUGAUAGUGGGGGAUAACGUUCGGAAACGGACGCUAAUACCGCAUACGUCCUACGGGAGAAAGCAGGGGACCUUCGGGCCUUGCGCUAUCAGAUGAGCCUAGGUCGGAUUAGCUAGUUGGUGAGGUAAUGGCUCACCAAGGCUACGAUCCGUAACUGGUCUGAGAGGAUGAUCAGUCACACUGGAACUGAGACACGGUCCAGACUCCUACGGGAGGCAGCAGUGGGGAAUAUUGGACAAUGGGCGAAAGCCUGAUCCAGCCAUGCCGCGUGUGUGAAGAAGGUCUUCGGAUUGUAAAGCACUUUAAGUUGGGAGGAAGGGCAGUUACCUAAUACGUGAUUGUCUUGACGUUACCGACAGAAUAAGCACCGGCUAACUCUGUGCCAGCAGCCGCGGUAAU
rnacentral:rRNA from 1 species